CAAUAGCGUAUAUUUAAGUUGUUGCAGUUAAAAAGCUCGUAGUUGGAUUUCGGGUAGGAUUUGCCGGUCCGUCUUUGAGAUGUGUACUGGUAAGUCCUAUCUUCUUGUCGGGGACCAGCUCCUGGGCUUCACUGUCCGGGACUGGGAGCCGACGAAGUUACUUUGAGUAAAUUAGAGUGUUCAAAGCAAGCCUACGCUCUGAAUAUAUUAGCGUGGAAUAACACGAUAGGACUCUGGCUUAUCUUGUUGGUCUGUGAGACCAGAGUAAUGAUUAAGAGGGACAGUCGGGGACAUUCGUAUUUCAUUGUCAGAGGUGAAAUUCUUGGAUUUAUGAAAGACGAACUUCUGCGAAAGCAUUUGUCAAGGAUGUUUUCAUUAA
rnacentral:rRNA from 1 species